rnacentral:rRNA from 2 species
CAGGUCGAACGAAACUUUCUUACACCGAAUGCUUGCAUUCACCGUAAGAAGUUGAGUGGCGGACGGGUGAGUAACACGUGGGUAACCUGCCUAAAAGAAGGGGAUAACACUUGGAAACAGGUGCUAAUACCGUAUAUCUCUAAGGAUCGCAUGAUCCUUAGAUGAAAGAUGGUUCUGCUAUCGCUUUUAGAUGGACCCGCGGCGUAUUAACUAGUUGGUGGGGUAACGGCCUACCAAGGUGAUGAUACGUAGCCGAACUGAGAGGUUGAUCGGCCACAUUGGGACUGAGACACGGCCCAAACUCCUACGGGAGGCAGCAGUAGGGAAUCUUCCACAAUGGACGCAAGUCUGAUGGAGCAACGCCGCGUGAGUGAAGAAGGUCUUCGGAUCGUAAAACUCUGUUGUUAGAGAAGAACACGAGUGAGAGUAACUGUUCAUUCGAUGACGGUAUCUAACCAGCAAGUCACGGCUAACUACGUGCCAGCAGCCGCGGUAAUACGUAGGUGGCAAGCGUUGUCCGGAUUUAUUGGGCGUAAAGGGAACGCAGCGGUCUUUUAAGUCUGAUGUGAAAGCCUUCGGCUUAACCGGAGUAGUGCAUUGGAAACUGGAAGACUUGAGUGCAGAGAGGAGAGUGGAACUCCAUGUGUAGCGGUGAAAUGCGUAGAUAUAUGGAAGACACCAGUGGCGAAAGCGGCUCUCUGGUCUGUAACUGACGCUGAGGUUCGAAAGCGUGGGUAGCAAACAGGAUUAGAU